GCUAGUUUGCUCGAGAGGUUAAGGGGGAAGAUUUAAGAUCUUCCGCACAUGAGUGCGUGUGGGUUUGAACCCCAUAGCUAGGA
rnacentral:tRNA from 1 species